CGGGAUGGACGGACCUCUGGUGUCCCAGUUGUUCCGCCAGGAGCACCGCUGGGUAGCUAUGUUCGGAAGGGAUAACCGCUGAAAGCAUCUAAGCGGGAAACCCACCCCAAGAUGAGAGUUCCCUUUCCGCUUCGGCGGAGCUGAAGGCCCCUCGUAGACGACGAGGUUGAUAGGCCGGAGGUGGAAGUCCGGUAACGGAUGGAGCUGACCGGUACUAAUAGGCCGUGAGGCUUGACCAU
rfam:Desulfacinum hydrothermale DSM 13146 genome assembly, contig: EJ40DRAFT_scaffold00021.21